AGAGACGAGUCAGAGUUUGAUCCUGGCUCAGAACGAACGCUGGCGGCAGGCUUAACACAUGCAAGUCGAGCGCCCGCAAGGGAGCGGCGAGACGGGUGAGUAACGCAUGGGAAUCUACCCUUUUCUACGGAAUAACGCAGGGAAACUUGUGCUAAUACCGUAUGUGUCCUUCGGGAGAAAGAUUUAUCGGGAAAGGAUGAGCCCGCGUUGGAUUAGCUAGUUGGUGGGGUAAAGGCCUACCAAGGCGACGAUCCAUAGCUGGUCUGAGAGGAUGAUCAGCCACAUUGGGACUGAGACACGGCCCAA
rnacentral:rRNA from 1 species